CUUUGCUGGCUAGUUAUUUUGCAGGGUUCAUCCUAGCCUUUUCUUUAUUUCCUUUCCCCUUCCCCUUCCCUUUCCCUUGUUUUUCCUUUGUUUUCUUUUCCUUGUCUUUCCUCCCUCCCUUCAUUUCUCCUUUCUUUUCCUUUCCUCUUUCUUUUCUUUCUUUCCUUUUUACUUACUUAAGCUUAUUUAACUUACUUAAUUUUUGAAACUGGGUUUUGCUCUGUUACCCAGGCUGGAGUGCAGUGGUGCAAUCAUAGCUCACUAAAGUCUUGACCUCCUCAGCUCAAGCAAUCCUCCUGCCUUAGCCUUCCAAGUAGCUGGGACUACAGGCAUGUGCCACCACUCCUGGCAAAAAAAAAAAAAUUUUUUUGAGAGAUGGGGUCUCACUAUGUUGCCUAGGCUGGUCUUGAACUCCUGAGUUCAAGCGAUCCUCCCACCUCAGCCUCCC
rnacentral:lncRNA from 10 species